AUUGAACGCUGGCGGCAGGCCUAACACAUGCAAGUCGAGCGGAUAAAGGGAGCUUGCUCCUGGAUUCAGCGGCGGACGGGUGAGUAAUGCCUAGGAAUCUGCCUGGUAGUGGGGGAUAACGUCCGGAAACGGGCGCUAAUACCGCAUACGUCCUGAGGGAGAAAGUGGGGGAUCUUCGGACCUCACGCUAUCAGAUGAGCCUAGGUCGGAUUAGCUAGUUGGUGGGGUAAAGGCCUACCAAGGCGACGAUCCGUAACUGGUCUGAGAGGAUGAUCAGCCACACUGGAACUGAGACACGGUCCAGACUCCUACGGGAGGCAGCAGUGGGGAAUAUUGGACAAUGGGCGAAAGCCUGAUCCAGCCAUGCCGCGUGUGUGAAGAAGGUCUUCGGAUUGUAAAGCACUUUAAGUUGGGAGGAAGGGCAGUAAGUUAAUACCUUGCUGUUUUGACGUUACCAACAGAAUAAGCACCGGCUAACUUCGUG
rnacentral:rRNA from 1 species